UCCAUAUCUCAAAUUUCUUUAACUUUAACAGUUAAAUUUUUUGGAUCUAACAAUGGAUCUAUUAAAAUGCAUAACUCAUUUUGUUUCCUAACCAAAUCCACUCCAUCUAUAUUUUACCAAAAGGUGCACAACUCAAGAAUUCUAAAAAAAAUCAAAACUUUAUUAGAAAACAACUGUUCCUAGUUAAAAAACUGAGCAACAUAAUACAC
rnacentral:lncRNA from 1 species